GUCGAACGGUUCUUUCUUUGAUGAAGCUUCGGCAGAUUCGUUGAAAGAAUAGUGGCGAACGGGUGAGUAAUGCAUGAGCAAUCUGCCCUAAAGACCGGGAUAAGCUUUCGAAAGGAAGUCUAAUACCGGAUAAUAAAAUUCCAGAUCGCAUGAUUUGAUUGGAAUUCAAAGGUAGCUUUUUAAGCCUCUGCUUUUGGAUGAGCUCAUGUCCUAUCAGCUAGUUGGUGAGGUAAAGGCUCACCAGAGCUAAGACGGGUAGCCGGUCUGAGAGGAUGGUCGGCCACACUGGGACUGAGACACGGCCCAGACUCCUACGGGAGGCAGCAGUAGGGAAUCUUGCGCAAUGGGCGAAAGCCUGACGCAGCGACACCGCGUGGAGGAUGAAGGUUUUCGAAUCGUAAACUCCUGUCAAUAGAGGAAGAAGGUAUUAUAGGUUAAUAGCUUAUAAUAUUGACGGUACUCUGUAAGGAAGCCCCGGCUAACUACGUGCCAGCAGCCGCGGUAAUACGUAGGGGGCAAGCGUUAUCCGGAUUUAUUGGGCGUAAAGCGCACGCAGGUGGCUUUUCAAGUUGGAUGUGAAAUCUCUUAGCAAAACUAAGAAAUUGCAUCCAAGACUGGAUUGCUUGAGGUCGGGAGAGGAGAGUGGAAUUCUCGGUGUAGCGGUGAAAUGCGCAGAUAUCGAGAAGAACACCAUUAGCGAAGGCGGCUCUCUGGAACGAUACUGACGCUAAGGUGCGAAAGCUAGGGUAGCAAACAGGAUUAGAUACCCUGGUAGUCCUAGCUGUAAAUGAUGGGCACUGGAUGUAGGGAGAUAUCGACUCUCCCUGUGUCGUAGCUAACGCGUUAAGUGCCCCGCCUGGGGAGUACGACCGCAAGGUUAAAACUCAAAGGAAUUGACGGGGACCCGCACAAGCGGUGGAGCAUGUGGCUCAAUUCGAUGCAACACGAAGAACCUUACCAGGGCUUGACAUUCUGGUGGUAGUGAUCCGAAAGGUGAACGACCCUUCGGGGAGCCAGAACAGGUGGUGCAUGGCUGUCGUCAGCUCGUGUCGUAAGAUGUUGGGUUAAGUCCCGCAACGAGCGCAACCCUUAUCCUAUGUUACUAACAUUAAGUUGAGACUCUUGGGAAGACUGCCGGUGUUAAACCGGAGCAGGGUGAGGAUGACGUCAAGUC
rnacentral:rRNA from 1 species